rnacentral:tRNA from 1 species
UCCCUGGUGGCUCAGACGGUAAAGCAUCUGUCUGCAAUGCGGGAGACCUGGGUUCGAUUCCUGGGUUGGGAA